AAGAAGCUAUGUUUCCACAGUCCAUUAAACAAAAAGAAAUAUAUACUGAAGAAAUUUCAUCACAUGUGUUAAAUAAUUUGGCAGUGGCAGGUAAAGCCAGGUCAGGCAGAAAUCCACACCUCCUUCAGGACAGACAACUUGAAAUGGGAGUAGGCUCAUCAUUGACCCCUGACUAUCAAAGAAGAGUCCACAUGCAAACUGGAUUGAAACAGCAACUGACAAGAGCUCACAGCACCACGUGGCAACAGGGCAGGAUUACAGCCUUGACCAGCCCUUCAUCUGUGGAACCCAGUCACUGAACUAAGUAAGGAUCUAAAGCAACCUUCCUCAAACCAACACCCUUCAUCUGUGGUGGACCACAUUUCUCAUCCUCCGCCAGACAGCAAGACUUGGAGAAAUGUGUUUUGAAGUUUAUAUUCCUUUUCAUCCUGGAAUAAAUGUUAAAUUAGGUUGCAUCAUAUAUCUGGAGGGACUGGUCACUUAAGCUUGAAAUAAAGGAGCUAG
rnacentral:lncRNA from 11 species